UCUUGUGGAGCAAUCCACGAGACCCAUACACAGGUGCUGCAUGGUUGUCGUCAGCUCGUGUCGUGAGAUGUACGGUUAAGUCCGUGAACGAGCGCAACCCCUGCCCUUGGUUGCUAAUAUGCGAAAGCAUAUGCACUCUAAGGGGACCGCCAGCGGAAAGCUGGAGGAAGGUGGGGAUGACGUCAAAUCCUCAUGGCCUUUAUGUCCAGGGCUACACACAUGCGACAAUGGUCGAGACAACGCGUUGCAAACCAGUAAUGGUAAGCUAAUCGCAUAAAAUCGACCUCAGUACGGAUUGAGGGUUGCAAUUCACCCUCAUGAAGCUGGAGUUGCUAGUAACCGCAGGUCAGCUAUACUGCGAUGAAUACGUUCCCGGGGCUU
rnacentral:rRNA from 1 species